UCAUUUAAACCAAAUCUAGCUUUUGCUGGGUCUUGGGCUUUCGCCUCUGGGCGGGCCUCAAAAUUAGUGGCGGUGCCACCCGGCUCUAAGCGUAGUAAUUAUAUCCUCGCUACAGAGUCCUCCGGGUGAAUACUAGCCAACAACCCCUAAAUUUUUUAAAGGUUGACCUCGGAUCAGGUAGGGAUACCCGCUGAACUUAA
rnacentral:misc_RNA from 1 species